rnacentral:rRNA from 1 species
GGGGAUUCGAGCUAACUCCCAAACCCAAUGUGAACGUUACCAAACUGUUGCCUCGGCGGGAUCUCUGCCCCGGGUGCGUCGCAGCCCCGGACCAAGGCGCCCGCCGGAGGACCAACCUAAAACUCUUAUUGUAUACCCCCUCGCGGGUUUUUUUAUAAUCUGAGCCUUCUCGGCGCCUCUCGUAGGCGUUUCGAAAAUGAAUCAAAACUUUCAACAACGGAUCUCUUGGUUCUGGCAUCGAUGAAGAACGCAGCGAAAUGCGAUAAGUAAUGUGAAUUGCAGAAUUCAGUGAAUCAUCGAAUCUUUGAACGCACAUUGCGCCCGCCAGUAUUCUGGCGGGCAUGCCUGUCCGAGCGUCAUUUCAACCCUCGAACCCCUCCGGGGGGUCGGCGUUGGGGAUCGGCCCUCCCUUAGCGGGUGGCCGUCUCCGAAAUACAGUGGCGGUCUCGCCGCAGCCUCUCCUGCGCAGUAGUUUGCACACUCGCAUCGGGAGCGCGGCGCGUCCACAGCCGUUAAACACCCAACUUCUGAAAUGUUGACCUCGGAUCAGGUAGGAAUACCCGCUGAACUUAAGCAUAUCAAAGGCCCGGGAGGA